CUGCCCCCUUUCCCAAAGCUCUCUCCUUUAUCUCAUCCACUCAACACCCAUCAAUCCCAAAUCCUUGCAAGGUCACAAAAUUAAACCUCACACCACUCAAUCUCUCUCUUACACCAACGAAUCUCGCCGGAUUAUUUCCUCUUUCAUCAUUUGAUUCGAAAUUUCCAAAUCUGAAACCCUAGGCUCAAAGAGGAAAUCGUCUGAUUUCUUCUUUGCCCUUUCUAAUCAAGCAUGCAUGGCAAUCCAUCUUGUCCCUAUACCGUGAAUCCUAUUUUUUUCAUUCCAUUUCCAUCGAUAAAAUUCAUAAGCCCCAAUUUGAAAACCCUAGACCCAAAAAUAAAACCUCAAAUCGUCUGAGUCCCUCUUAUGUUCUUUCAAAUCGGAGGCAUGCAUGAAGGUUUCACAGGCUUCAUCAUUGUUAUUCGAUAUCUAGAGGUCAAACGCAGUGACCUAUAGUCACUGAAGCUUUAACCGAUGGUCUUUCGAUUCAACGGUCGAUUUCUUUUCUCAAAGUUCGUUUAUUGUUCGGGCUUGAGUUUGGAUUCCUAAACGGCUAAACGAAGCUUUUGUUUGGUUUGCUGCUCCGUAGAAGGGUACUGUAUCUUCAAUGGAUGCAGGUGGUUCGUCCGCGG